rnacentral:rRNA from 1 species
UUGGAGGGCAAGUCUGGUGCCAGCAGCCGCGGUAAUUCCAGCUCCAAUAGCGUAUAUUAAAGUUGUUGCAGUUAAAAAGCUCGUAGUUGAAUUUCGGGGUCAGUAGGUUGGUCAUGCCACUGGUAUGUACUGGUCUCACUGAUUCCUCCUUCCUGAUGAGCUGUAAUGCCAUUAAUUUGGUGUUGCGGGGAAUCUGGACUGCUACUUUGAAAAAAUUAGAGUGUUUAAAGCAGGCUAACGCCUGAAUACAUUAGCAUGGAAUAAUGAAAUAGGACGUUCGAUCCUAUUUUGUUGGUUUCUAGGAUUGACGUAAUGAUUAAUAGGGAUAGUUGGGGGCAUUAGUAUUCAAUUGUCAGAGGUGAAAUUCUUGGAUUUGUUGAAGACUAACUACUGCGAAAGCAUUUGCCAAGGAUGUUUUCAUUAAUCAAGAACGAAAGUUAGAGGAUCGAAGACGAUCAGAUACCGUCGUAGUCUUAACCAUAAACUAUGCCGACUAGGGAUCGGAUGAUGUCAAUUUUUUAAUGACUCAUUCGGCGCCUUACGGGAAAC